GGGGGAUAUUGCGCAAUGGGGGCAACCCUGACGCAGCAACGCCGCGUGAAGGAUGAAGGUUUUCGGAUUGUAAACUUCUUUUAUUAAGGACGAAAAUUGACGGUACUUAAUGAAUAAGCUCCGGCUAACUACGUGCCAGCAGCCGCGGUAAUACGUAGGGAGCAAGCGUUGUCCGGAUUUACUGGGUGUAAAGGGUGCGUAGGCGGCUUUGCAAGUCAGAUGUGAAAUCUAUGGGCUCAACCCAUAAACUGCAUUUGAAACUGUAGAGCUUGAGUGAAGUAGAGGCAGGCGGAAUUCCCCGUGUAGCGGUGAAAUGCGUAGAGAUGGGGAGGAACACCAGUGGCGAAGGCGGCCUGCUGGGCUUUAACUGACGCUGAGGCACGAAAGCGUGGGUAGCAAACAGGAUUAGAUACCCUGGUAGUCCACGCUGUAAACGAUGAAUACUAGGUGUGCGGGGACUGACCCCCUGCGUGCCGCAGUUAACACAAUAAGUAUUCCACCUGGGGAGUACGAUCGCAAGGUUGAAACUCAAAGGAAUUGACGGGGGCCCGCACAAGCGGUGGAUUAUGUGGUUUAAUUCGACGCAACGCGAAGAACCUUACCAGGGCUUGACAUCCUACUAACGAAGUAGAGAUACAUCAGGUGCCCUUCGGGGAAAGUAGAGACAGGUGGUGCAUGGUUGUCGUCAGCUCGUGUCGUGAGAUGUUGGGUUAAGUCCCGCAACGAGCGCAACCCCUAUUGUUAGUUGCUACGCAAGAGCACUCUAGCGAGACUGCCGUUGACAAAACGGAGGAAGGUGGGGACGACGUCAAAUCAUCAUGCCCCUUAUGUCCUGGGCUACACACGUAAUACAAUGGCGGUCAACAGAGGGAUGCAAAGCCGUAAGGUGGAGCGAACCCCUAAAAGCCGUCUCAGUUCAGAUUGUGGGCUGCAACCCGCCCACAUGAAGUCGGAAUCGCUAGUAAUCGCGGAUCAGCAUGCCGCGGUGAAUACGUUCCCG
rnacentral:rRNA from 1 species